GACGCCCCGCCCGUCGGCCGGAAGCCCCGCCCCGACAGCCGGAAGCGGAAGCGGUGCAGGCGGGGCCCGGGCAGAAACUCUGACAUCUCUCUGAUGGACAGAGCAGUUACCUGGUCCCACCCUGGGGAAACCUUCGGUCCUGGCCAAAUACUCCUCGCCUUCAGCAGCUCUGUGUGCGGCCCUGCUCAGUCCCCAACCACCCUGGAUCUUCUGCAGUGUACAGUUCUCCUCGUUUCUCCACUUUGACUUCGCUAAUGUGUUUGCCUCGGAAAAAUGAACUCUAGUAACUGGAGGCCUCCCAGCU